rnacentral:rRNA from 1 species
UACGGAGGGUGCAAACGUUGUCCGGAAUCACUGGGCGUAAAGAGCAUGUAGGCGGUUCAGCAAGUGAACGAUUAAAGACCGACGCCUAACGUCGGGAAUGUUAUUCAUACUACUGAACUUGAGAAUAUCAGGGGCAAGCGGAACUUUAGGUGUAGGGGUGAAAUCCGUAGAUAUCUAAAGGAACACCAAUGGCGAAGGCAGCUUGCUAGGGUAUUUCUGACGCUGAGAUGCGAAAGCGUGGGGAGCGAACGGG